AAGAAGUCGGUAGCUUAACCUUUUUGGAGGGCGCUGACCACUUUGUGGCUCAUGACUGGGGUGAAGUCGUAACAAGGUAACCGUAGGGGAACCUGCGGUUGGAUCACCUCCUUACCU
rnacentral:rRNA from 1 species